rnacentral:sRNA from 1 species
AGGAUCUUAGCGGCACUGCGAAUGAACACCAGAAGACUGCGUGAGAGGCAAGCUCAUUUGUUAGGAGGGGUCAGGGGAUAUUUAUUCCCUAGGGAAAUUGCUGGUUGAGCCCAUGUAGUGGUAUGUUACUGUGUGGGGCAAGAACACGAGGGUGCUUCAUUUGCCUUCUCUGGAGCAGCGGGGGUCCAGAAAGGAAUCUCAUAAGGUCCUAGAGACAGGAACAACACAGGCUGUUUCAGGCCCAGCAGUUGGAUAGAACAACCAGGCCUAGUAACCUUGGAGACGUAUGAGCUUAUCAGUUGCUGCAUUCCCCAGGCGUUUCCACCCUAGCUGCUGGAGUCUGUUGGUCCCAGAGAAGGCUAAAUACCUCAAACAAGCUCUGUUCUUACAAGAAUCAUUUAAGGUUAUUAAAGAUAAAGUGUUUGAGAUCCAUGAACUACAGUGCCCCAUCCCCUGGUGUCUGUGCUCUUCAUGAACUACUAACUGACCAGAGGCAAGGCAACUGCUCUGAAUAAAAAAGGUUCAAUCUAUUGUCACCCUGGUUGUUUACAUGACUUGGUGAUUACUUCAUGGACCAUGGGCAAAUUAUCACUGGCCACACCACGAAAGAGAAUGAAACCUUCCCAUCACCCAUCGGGAGCUUCAUGAAACUCUCUCUCCUCAAUAUGAUGAAAUCAUGAGAGAGAAAUCUCAUGUGGGUCUUAUGGAGGGCAUCUGAACAUCUGAGCUGUAUGGACAUAUUCUUCACCUGUUACUGGGGUUCAACCUAAUAAUUUAUUUCUUCUGCAAGAAGCAUUAUCCAGAACACUAAGUUCAAUGUGUGUCAACCAGACUGAACUAAGGACUGUUAUGCAUUUUAAAUCUUCUCUUUCUUUGCUAACUUCUUGUCCACUCUGUUACUGAGGACAGAUUUACCUCAGUAUCCUACCAUAGCAAGGAUGUCUGAGUCACUGGGGAUAGUGCACAUCCAAAGAAGAUCCUGAUUGCUAAUUUUCAGCAUUACCUUGAAUGAGAACCAUGUAGACUAGACCAAUUCAAUUUCAUGUCCAACACAAAAUGAAUAGAAACUUCUAGCGCUGAAGUAUUCCUGAGCUGACUGCUGUAUUCAGGUGCCUUGUCCUGGCUCUUAGAUAUCUCAGUGUCUUAGAAACUCUAGACAACACGGUCACAAAAAUAUUGAAGAAUUUAGUUCGUAUCUAUACAUUAUCUAAGAACAGAUCCUUUGCUAGACAUACAGCUCUCAAAGAGCCCUUAAAGCUGAAACAGCAAUUGUAAUCUUACCACCACAAACCCAUUUGUGUUAUCAAUUUAUUUAUGAAACAAUGAGCAAAUGCGUUGUUACGUUUUGCUAAUGGGAGAACACAGAAAUAAAAGCUAAGAGACUUAUCUGC